UGUUGAUCUAUCAGGGUAAGUCUUUUAGUAAGAUAUUCUAAUAAUGAAAAUAUGUACAGAAAACGUUUUUAACUAUUCUGAACUAGUUUUUUUUCAUAUGAAAUUUAAAGCUUAUCGAUUGUCUUACAAGGAAGAUCAACUUUGAUAGCGUAGCAUAUGUAUUUCCUUGUAAGAAGAACAAACGAAAUAAAUUUUGAAAUCCGUAACAAAUAAAGAUAUUUUUAACCCACUGCAUUUUUUAUUAUUUAGGAAUCUGACAUUCUGAUGUUCAGAAGUUGUCGUUUGUUGAUGUGUUUCUCGUUGCUAAGUAAGUGUUUUAUAUAGAUACGAUCGUUGGUUUUCCCGUGUUGAAAACCAUACUUUGACCUAUAAUGGUUUACUCUUACAAACUGUGACUUGUAUGAAUAGUUGUCUCAUAUGCACUCAUACCAAGUCGUCUUAUAUCUAUGUUAAACAUAGGCAAACGAUAACAUAAGGAUAUUCAAAAUCAUAAGUAGAAAUGUAACUGAAAACGCAAUGGAUUAGUGUAGAAUAAGUCAUGUACUUUAAAUGAAGGCGAAUUACAAUACCAUUUCAGAAAUAAAAUGGAUUUAAUGACGAUCUGUUUUUAUUUCAAACAUAUAUGACAUGUUUAAACGAAUCAUUCAUCAGGUAAUAGUAUCUGAAGAAGUCAGUUGUAAGAGAUUUUGUCUGUUAAUCAGAUUGCACAAUGAAUAAAAAAAAAUAUUCAGGGAGCUCACCAUUCCAUCACAAUGAAAUUAUAGGAUUGAGACCCUGUCUCUGUAAAAUUAGGUAAGAGAAGUGCCAUAGGGAUAACAAUUUUAAUUCGAUAACAAAACGUAACUGUCAGAAAUUAUCAUUUCACAGUGAAUAGAAAUAGCAUAAUCUGGCUACCUACUACUUGAUCUCAAUUGACCCAUGCAGAUAUAUAAAUGACGUCACUAAGAGGUCGCUUUAAAAUAUUUAACUUUAGAGGAUUUUAAAAGUGUCAUGCAUGAUUAUAUUCAUAACAUAAGUGACAAUAUAUGUAGUAUGUAUUUAACCGAAUUUUUAAAUGACUUUCAAAGAAUUUGUGUGGGAACAAUUUGUAUAACAAGAAUGUGUAAAUAUAGACCUUUUAACAAUCAUACGAAUUUUUUUAUUUAAUCAAAUUUGUGAAAUGAAUACGAACCAUGUCUGUUCAAUCAUGGAAAAAGAGUUGAAUACACGUAUUUGAUAAAUGAAACACUUGAGUAGUAAUAUUUCUGAUUAUCUUUGAAAUAUUUUACGUUUAGAUAAAUUUAGAGAUUGGUUUAAGAUAAGAAGUCAAAUCCAAUUUUCUGGGUUAUCUGUAAACCAAACAAGUUCUGGCUCCCGUUAGAAAGUUAAGAUGCAAGAUGUCAAUUUGUGAUGGUGUUCAUAAACAAUGUUAUUCCUUUUCUGAUUUAUUAAACUUUUGUUAAUUAUAGAUUGUUUAUUGAGCGGAAUUGUUCGAAGACUAUUCUACGAAGCAAUAUGGAGUUUGAUUUUGCAGACAUGGAUAACGAUUUAAUUGAGUUAUAUGAUACAUUUCUCCACCAUAAAGGUGUCGAAAACAAAGAAGAUCCGUUGAAUGAAGAUAUUGGAUUUGGAGUUUCUGUCAAUGUAACUUUUGAGCGGAAAGAUAUGACGGAUCUUUGUAACCUAAUUAUAGAUUGGAAACCGCCUCAGACCAUUCUUUACGUUGGUGGGACAGUUCGCAAGGAUCCUGAAAAGCGAGCAGAAGAGCAUGAAAAAAAGAAAUUUUGUCAUAUGACAUCAUUCUAUUACUGCCGUGUACAAGAUGUAAAAUCAGUAGAAACUGAGCUACUUCAACUAGGCGGGGAUAAACUUAAGCAAAAUGUCCACAAGAAAAGCAACUGUAGGGCGGAACCUGGAUUCGUGUAUGUUUUAGACACUGGACUAAUAUCUUAGUAGCUUGGUUGAAAAAUAUCUCGAAUCUUUUUUACAGUACCCAGAAAUAGUAAAUAAUUAUAAACAUAUUAAUUAAGACUCAUAUUAGAGGGAACUCUGAAGCCGAUGUCAUCAGUCUAUAAUUGUAAUAACCCUUGAAAAAUGUGUAUAGUGAAGGAUGAUUGUAAAAUAUAUUAUAUGUAUAUGUUAGAUGGUAUAUCAAAUCGAUUAAAGACACCGUACAAUACAUUUUGUGAUUUUAUUUGGUACAAUGAAGAUUAUUCCUUCUGUCAUUU
rnacentral:lncRNA from 1 species